rnacentral:tRNA from 1 species
GGUAUUGCUGGGCUUCAGUGAUAGAGCUUUUCCUUUGCACGCAAAACGUCCCAGGUUCAAUCCCAGGCAUCACCA